UUUUGUAUUUUUCCGGCAUGAAUAGUGAUUUCAAAAGUGGACUUCCAACCAUUUUUUGAAAAAGUUCCUUCAGAACAGUUGGGUCGUCUGUUAAUUCCGAUCCUACCCCUACUGUUUAUAUUUUAUUCCGACCGCUUUGAAUUUUUUCCGGCUACUACAGUAAUAAUCCGAGAGCUAUAGUAUUUCUGAAGUGAACAGUAUUUUUCGGUGCAGAAUAGUGUUCUGUUUUCCUGCUAUGAACAGUGUUUUCUUAGCGAUUUCUUCAGUUUUCCCAAAAGAGUUACUAAUUUUCACUAUUUCAAGUUAAC
rnacentral:lncRNA from 1 species